rnacentral:rRNA from 1 species
AACGCUAGCUACAGGCUUAACACAUGCAAGUCGAGGGGCAGCAUAUUUUUAGCUUGCUAAGAAUGAUGGCGACCGGCGCACGGGUGAGUAACGCGUAUCCAACCUUCCCAUGGCUCAGGGAUAACCUUGCGAAAGUAAGCCUAAUACCUGAUAUCCUCUUUAGCAGGCAUCUAAAGAAGAGGAAAGAUUUAUCGGCGAUGGAUGGGGAUGCGUCCGAUUAGCUUGCCGGUGGGGUAAAGGCCCACCGGGGCGACGAUCGGUAGGGGUUCUGAGAGGAAGGUCCCCCACAUUGGAACUGAGACACGGUCCAAACUCCUACGGGAGGCAGCAGUGAGGAAUAUUGGUCAAUGGGCGAGAGCCUGAACCAGCCAAGUAGCGUGCAGGACGACGGCCCUAUGGGUUGUAAACUGCUUUUAUACGGGAAUAAAGUGAUGCCUGCGGGCGUUAUUGCAUGUACCGUACGAAUAAGGACCGGCUAAUUCCGUGCCAGCAGCCGCGGUAAUACGGAAGGUCCGGGCGUUAUCCGGAUUUAUUGGGUUUAAAGGGAGCGUAGGCUGUCCUUUAAGCGUGUUGUGAAAUGUAGGCGCUCAACGCCUGCACUGCAGCGCGAACUGAAGGACUUGAGUGUGCACGACGCUGGCGGAAUUCGCGGUGUAGCGGUGAAAUGCUUAGAUAUCACGAAGAACUCCGAUUG